AUUGAACGCUGGCGGCAUGCCUUACACAUGCAAGUCGAACGGCAGCAUGAUCUAGCUUGCUAGAUUGAUGGCGAGUGGCGAACGGGUGAGUAAUACAUCGGAACGUGCCCUGUAGUGGGGGAUAACUAGUCGAAAGAUUGGCUAAUACCGCAUACGACCUGAGGGUGAAAGUGGGGGACCGCAAGGCCUCAUGCUAUAGGAGCGGCCGAUGUCUGAUUAGCUAGUUGGUGAGGUAAAGGCUCACCAAGGCGACGAUCAGUAGCUGGUCUGAGAGGACGAUCAGCCACGCUGGGACUGAGACACGGCCCAGACUCCUACGGGAGGCAGCAGUGGGGAAUUUUGGACAAUGGGGGCAACCCUGAUCCAGCAAUGCCGCGUGUGUGAAGAAGGCCUUCGGGUUGUAAAGCACUUUUGUCCGGAAAGAAAUCGCACUUACUAAUAUUAGGUGUGGAUGACGGUACCGGAAGAAUAAGGACCGGCUAACCACGUGCCAGCCGCCGCGGUAACAC
rnacentral:rRNA from 1 species